GUCGAUUAUACUUGCCGUCCUCACUCCCUGAGCCAACGAUCGGACACAACAAUUCACCUUCGGAAUCAUCCCUCCGCCGAUUCUUCCUUCGUCCAUCAUCUUCUUCACUCCUUUAAUGUCUAUCUGUUUCACUAAGCUUUUCGGAUCGUCACGGUCUUCCAGAAUCCCCGCCACAUCCGUCAGUAAGAUCAGCUUCUCCGCUCCCAGGGCCGCCGCUAAUUCUCCGG
rnacentral:misc_RNA from 1 species